UUUUGCUGUAGCAACAUUAUUUUGUCUGACCAAAGAAGAUUCCAUUACUGCUGACUUGCAUGAACUAAGUACAGGAGACUGUGGCACUAAAGUAAUGGAACUGCUACUACUGUCACCAGUUCCACUAGAUUUUACGCUGAUAAAACUAGCCGCAGAAAGGAAAGUAUUGGAAUCCAAGUUAGAAACCUGAAUAGCAUGAUUAAAGCCUUGCUUCCAUUGCUUGUAACAAUAAUGACAGACCCUGACUUUUUCACACUCCUCUUGUAGUAACCUUGGUUCGCGAGGUGGUACAGGAAUAGAGUUAGAUGUGCACUUGGCACAGAAAACACGUCCACAGAGUCGACAAUGAUGCCUCCGGUUAAACAAUGUGAACAAAG
rnacentral:misc_RNA from 1 species